rnacentral:pre_miRNA from 10 species
CUACUUCUUGCACUGUGGCCUGAAAACUUUCUUCAGGAAGUAAGCUGGGGCAAUUGUUGUACCCGAGCGAGUCAGAAAAACGCCACACUUUGAGACGAAUUAUGAGUCCUUUAUUAG